UCACCCUGGGUCAACACACCUGAAUCAAAUUAUUAGUUUAUUACCAGGCCCGUGUUGGAUCAAGGACACAUCUAAAACCUGCAGGACACCGGCCGUUGAGUUGCCCACCCCUGGCUUACAGUGACUGUCCUGCAAAAAGAUGGCAGGAGUGACGCCCACUGUGGUCUUCUGCUGCUGCUUCAUCCGUUUUAAGGUUCAACUUGACACCCACGUGUGCUCUUCUGCAAACCUUGGCUGUAUCAGGUGUCCAAAGCAGGCUGGCCAUUCUUCUCUGACCUCUGGCAUCAACAAGGCACGUCCACCAAGAGAACUGCUGUUCACUGCAUAAUUUCUCUUGUUCAGACUAUUCUCUAUAAACCCUAAAGAUGGUUGUGUGGGGAAAAAACCCAGUAAAUCAGCAGCUUCUGAAAUGUUCAGACCUGGUUUAUGGUUGAACAAUGCUUAUGAUGGUACUUAUAGGGAAAAGGAAAACAAUCCUCAUCACAUUUUUAAAUGUAAGAUAAGAGGACAGUUGAAUAGUGUAUCAUACAUGAUCUGCACCAAUAUAAUACAAAUAAAAAUAUAAAAAGGCAAGAUAAAGCCACUAUACAGCACUUUUCUACUCUGAGCACUCAAAGCCCUUUGCACAACUUGCCUCAUUCACACAAGCACUUUUUCUAUGCUCUUUCUACAUACGUGCUUUCUAUCUAACAUGCACACACAUUCAUACUAUGAUGAAUGCAUUGGAGAGCAACUUGGGAUUAGUAUUUUGCCCAAGGAUAUUGGGCAUGCAGAUAGGAGGGAUCGAACCACUAACCUUUUGAUCAGCAGAUAACCUGUUCCUUAUAUCUACCACUAAAGCCUCUUUUCCAUUAGUAUCUACUCGGUUUGACUUGACUCAACUCUACUGGGUUUUGGUCGUUUUCCAUUACAACUGAGCACUAUACCGGUAUCUAUACCGACUCGGCCAAAAGUCUCAGGAUGUCAUUUGUAUGCACCACAAAUACAGCAGAACAAUGGAGGACGUUGAGGCAAUUCUAUACCUGCUGCUUGGUGUAUGGCUUUCUGUCAGACUCGGUGAUCACGGUGUUGGUUUGUGUGUAGCCAUUUCCCUCCUUG
ensembl:lncRNA